rnacentral:rRNA from 1 species
CAGCAGCCGCGGGAACACAGAGGGUGCGAGCGUUAAUCGGAUUUACUGGGCGUAAAGCGUGCGUAGGCGGCUAAUUGAGUCGGAUGUGAAAUCCCCGAGCUUAACUUGGGAAUUGCAUUCGAUACUGGUUAGCUAGAGUGUGGGAGAGGAUGGUAGAAUUCCAGGUGUAGCGGUGAAAUGCGUAGAGAUCUGGAGGAAUACCGAUGGCGAAGGCAGCCAUCUGGCCUAACACUGACGCUGAGGUACGAAAGCAUGGGGAGCAAACAGGAUUAGAUACCCGCGUAGUCCCUGUCUCUUAUAC